rnacentral:lncRNA from 1 species
UGUUAUUUAAUCCACACCUGAAAAGAAUAAUAAUGGUAGCUGGUCAUAGAAAUUUAGGUCAGAAAUAGAAUUAAUCAGGCUCUUCUGCUAACUUUAGGGUGCUGAGAAAAUUAUAAAAUCCCUUUGCUUUUAGUUUCCUCAUUACAAAACAGAGGCCCACCAAUUCACAUGAGGCCACGUAUUUAAAUAUACAUCUGCUGGCCAGGCAAUUUGGAUGUAUGAAUUCCACAGAGGAAUGAUAAAUGCUGCCUUAUAAAAGCUCGGCAGACUAUUGCAGCAAGCUGCUGUUUAUAGAUUCGUCUCCUCUCACAAGAAUAUGACUCCUGUUAAGUAUAUGGAUUUUUAAUUUAAUUUGGCAUAUUUCUAGUCGAAAAGAAAAAAAAGUCAACUAAAUGCUAAUUUAGGCACAUUGUAUUUGUGCUUGGAGGAAAAAGAGAAUAUCCUGUCUGGAUCAUAUUGUCCCUCCACUACCAGCAUCUGUGGCUGACACCAAGGAGUAGGAGACCACUGGAGGACAUAAAUAUGAAUCUGGUGCUGACCACUGAUAACCACUUGUUAACACUGCUGCAGCGCCUUGUACUUGAGGGCAUUUGUGGGUUCAGCACUUCAUUUUUUUCCUAACAAUGCCUGCUAUAGCUCAGAGGCUGAUUUAGUUUUCAUGUGUCCUUGAUAAAAGACCUGCAGCCGAGGGACAAUAAAUGACAUGCUGGUGGUCCCAAAGCCAGUCAGCAGCAAAAAGCCCAGGGGCCUGUGUGGUGCCCAACCCACCAUCUCUCCACUAGCUCGGCUCUUUCCUGGAGCAGGCAGCCACAGAGAGAGUUGCUGGAUCUCUUCCUCAGAGAUUCGUAGCAGCCUUUCAAACCUAGAAUAGAGGAAGUCCCUUGGCUGGCGUGUGGGUUGCUGUGAUGGAGCUGCAUCCUUUUUGAGUUGGGGUUGGCUUUGCUCUGGUUUGGUUUCUGUAUUUAUUGUUUGUUUUCUCAGGAAGUGGUUUAAUGUCCUUCCCCUGGAAGGCCUGUAAAGUGAGGGGUUAUUUGUUCACCCAUAUUUUAAAAUAUAAUAAAAAUAUAUUUUACUUUAAAAAGGUAAGAAGCACAAACAGAAGCACUAGGAAGCACUUACUGCUUAGAGAGAACUGGUGUUCACACCCUGAUAGACUACUUUCUAUCCUUAAUAAAUUAAACUUGCGAGUCUAAGUACAAAUACUGUGUCUCCUACCUUUUUUUACAUAGUCUUAGGUGUUAUUCCCUCAUAUGGUUAAACACUUAUCAUAAAGGACUGCCAAUGGUCCCACUUAUGUCCAUGAUAUGGAGGUGCUCUAUGUAACCUUUACCUAACUCUUAGGCAGUUAUGUCACAGUAUUCUACAAUAAAAGGAUAGUGCAGGGUAUAAAGAGGCCCUACUGAUUAUGUAUAACUCUGCAUUUCUCAAUAUGUUUUUAGAAUAAAUUUCUUAAAGAAAAGACUCAAACAUUUUGUCCUAAAAGUAGAUUCCUAAAAGGAAAGGCAGUACCAUCUGAGACUAUUGAUGCCUACAUCUGAAGCAUUUCUCUGUGGGAGAGGGGCUGACACGCUCAGCAGAACCUUUGGUACCCCCAAGAAGCCAGUGGUGUUGUUUUAGUGUGAAAUCUAGCAGGCUGAAGAGCCAAGAAGAGCCAGCAUUUGAGUUCAUACUCAAGGGCAGGUAAUGGCUUCUGUCCAUUUAGAAGGCAGGAGGGGGAAAGAGUUUCCUCUUCCUUGGGGGAGCUCCAGUGGCUUUGUUUUAUUCUAGGCUCUAAAUUCCCACAUUAAGAGCUCUGAUCUGUCUGUCAACUUAAGCAUUAAACUUAUCCACAGAUAAACUAUCCAAUAUAAUGUUGAAUCAAAUAUUUAGGCACUUGUGGCCCUGUCCAGAUGACAUGUAAAAUUAUGCAUCACAGCUCUGGGCCACCUGUGCCUGCCUGUCUUUUCUACCUUCAGUUAUAGGUGAUUAUUUGAAAUUGUAACUUUUUGUUUUCUUUACAACAGUUGUUGUCUCUUGUGAUUUUGCCAAGUCCACUGCCCAUCAUUCAGAAACAAACCUUCCUCCACUUGAAGCCAUUAUAUGAUACAACAAAAAGAGACUGCAUUAUGCAAUGCUUGGAUCCUAAAACCAGCUCAUAAAAACAGACCAAUCAUAAAUAGUAUUUCCACUUGGCAGUGGUGGUCCACACCUUUAAUGCCAGCAUUUAGGAGGCAAAGGUAGGUGGAUCUCUGUGAGUUCAAGGCCACCCUGGUCUACAGAAUUAGUUCUAGGUAGGACAGCAAGAGCUACACAAAGAAACAAUGUCUCAGAAACAAACAAAUAGUAUUUCCAAGUAUGGGAGUUGAGGUACUGUUCCAACUCUCUCCCCAGCCAUUCUGUCCCCAGUGAGAGAAUGUAGUCAUAAGUUUCCAAUCUACCAUGCUCACACUGCAUCUCACACAGCAAACAAGGACCUGGGUCUUGUGUAGGGUCUUAUUUAACACACAGCAAUCCCCUUUUCUGUACUAUAGAAGUAUUAUGAGUUGGUGGGAAAGAUUCCCUUCCUUCUUAAGUGUUCUGCCUCUUUCCCCACAUGUUCUGUUAUUCUUUGGUUGAUGAGUGAAUGGUUGGUCAGAUGGCUGGUUGUGGUUUUGAGACAGAAUUUCAUAAUAUAGCUCAGGUUGCCUUCAAAUGCACGAUAUUCCUGCCUCCAGCUCCAGAAUGCUGGUAUUACGGACGGCAGCCACAAACUCCGCGCUCAUCCCAUUUUUUUUUUCAAACAAUUCUUUUCAUGCCAACCUAAGAAGACUCCGAGUGGGGAUAAAAUUUAAAAUGCUUUAUUUUAUAUAUACUACCCAUUACUAUGUUGAAUUUAAAUUCAUGGCCUGCCUACUCGUUUUCUUCAAUGAACAGAUAAGAAUAACUGAGUUCCAGUGUGCAAAUGAAUACAAAAGUCAUUCAAAGUUCAAGAGAAAAAUU